rnacentral:lncRNA from 1 species
AUCUCUCACACCCUCCUCGCCCUCCCCACCGACAUCAUGCUCCAGUUCCUGGUGAGUGGGGCCUCGGAGGAUCGGGCCCUGCGGUCGCCUCGUUCUCCCGGGGUCCCGGGUCGGCGGUGCACGGCUCUGCAGUCGGGAUUCGAGCCGGUCGUCGCCCCUCGGGUUUGCUGGGCAGUUUUCCUCUGGCCUCCUCCUAAGUCCUUGGGUCUCUGCCUGGGUUUGUUUAUAUGCAGUCCUUCAAGUUCCGAAAACUUUGGGGUGUCAGUGAUAUGACUGCGUUUUCAAAAAAAACCACUUACUGUGAGCUCUUAGCGUAAUCCUCGCACUUGGAUUUACUUUGGGCAACGUGGUUGGAAUGUAUCUGGCUCAGAACUAUGAAAUGCCAAACCUGGCUAAAAAACUUGAAGAGAUUAAAAAGGACCUGGAAGCCAAGAAGAAGCCCCCUAGUUCCUGAUGCCGGCCUGGCACUGCAUUCUGGACCCACCUGUUCCGUCCUGGGGGGGGCCUGUCUCCUUCAGAGCCACAUCCAAAGCUGUGUUCCUCUUUGGUCUCAGACUCUGCGUGAUGCCUCAGAUCCAGCAGGGGCCAGAAGUCGAGUUAGCUUUAGGUGUCCAGCAUCUCCCCUUCUCGGUAUCUUCUGUCCAGCUGCUUCUGAGUCCUAAGACUGGAACCAUGGUGCUCGGUUAGCAACUACAACCCUAACAGUACUCACUCACCGUGCUCUGGGAGUCUUAGCACCUACUGUCAAGAAAUGAAUGGAUCUGGAUAGCUACUGGGGAUUUACUGACUAGCAGUGAUAACAGGAGCUUGCUAGACAAACUAAAUUGUGUUAAAAUCAUUAAAGUCAGUAUCUUCAAGCCAGUUUCUGGUGAAUUAAUCCAUUUAUUAUAUAUUGUUACCAAAGAGCUUCAUGGUUGAUAAUUUAAUCAGUAAAUCAUUUGCUUGUCAUUAACCAAGAAACUGUUUUAUGAAAUCUAUAAAAAACAAACAAGGAAAACUUAAAACAUGCAAAGUAACUGUUGUCUGUGUACAGUUCAGUCUAUGUAGUCUGUGUUUUUCCUUAUUGAUAUAUUUGAACCGAAUCUGCCGUCAAAAGAGCCAUUCUUUAUGCUGGCACUAGAUAAGAUGGGCGAAUAAAUAAGGAGCUGUUGAUAAAAGAAUGUUACUUUUUUUUUUUUUUAACAUUAAAUGGGUGCUAAUUGUAUAACUUUAUAGUGAACCCCCUAGGAGAAGUGUGGUGC